AUAGUCUAGGAAAGGCUCCUGUGUGGUUGAAUCUGUCUAAUGUGAGUACAGCCUCAUACCUGAUUGUUCAACCUUGACCUAUACAGUAAAUUCCCGUGAAAUAAUUCCCUAGGCUUAGAAUUUAUAGUUACAGGUAUGAUGAUCCUAACAGCAAUUAAAUGAUUGUGUGUAUGUAUGUAUGA